UACGUAGGGGGCUAGCGUUGUCCGGAAUCAUUGGGCGUAAAGAGCGUGUAGGCGGUCCGGUAAGUCCGUUGUGAAAGUCAGGGGCUCAACCCUUGAAUGCCGGCGGAUACUGCCGGGCUAGAGUCCGGAAGAGGCAAGUGGAAUUCCCGGUGUAGCGGUGAAAUGCGCAGAUAUCGGGAGGAACACCUAUGGCGAAGGCAGCUUGCUGGGACGGUACUGACGCUGAGACGCGAAAGCGUGGGGAGCAAACAGG
rnacentral:rRNA from 1 species